rnacentral:rRNA from 1 species
GACGAACGCUGGCGGCGUGCCUAAUACAUGCAAGUCGACCUUAGUGGGGACGGGUGAGUAACACGUUGAUAACCUCCUAUAAGACUGGGAUAACUCUGGGAAACCGGCGCUAACCCGGCUACUUAUAGAUGGAUCCGCGCUGCAUUAGCUAGUGGGGAAGGUAACGGCUUACCAAGGCAACGAUGCAUAGCCGACCUGGUAGGGUGAGCGGACAAACGGGAACGGAGACACGGUCAGGAUUCCUAGGGUAGGCAGCAGUAGGGAAUCUUCCGCAAGGGGCGAAAGCCUGACGGAGCAACGCCGCGUGAGUGAGGAAGGUCUUCGGAUCGUAAAACUCGGUUAUUAGGGAAGCGGUACCUAAUCAGAAAGCCACGGCUAACUACGUGCCAGCAGCCGCGGUAAUUC